rnacentral:misc_RNA from 1 species
ACUGACGACCAUGACUAUGAUGUCAAGAUGCGCAAUGUGAUGAGGUUUCUUGAAGGCGGCGACAAGGUCAAGAUCACCCUGCGCUUCCGUGGUCGCGAAAUGGCGCACCAGGAGCUGGGGCUGGAACUGUUGAACCGCGUCAAGGGCGAUGUGGGCGAGACCGGCAAGGUCGAAUCCAUGCCCAAGCUGGAAGGCCGCCAGAUGGUGAUGAUGAUCUCGCCCCGUUAAGAAGGGGCCUGAUCUGGAUCGUUUUGCAGGCCGCGCUGUCGAUCAGCGCGGCCUUUGCCUUUCGUGGCCGGGGCUGCCACAAGAUAUGUCUGA